rnacentral:rRNA from 1 species
GAUGAACGCUGGCGGCGUGCCUAAUACAUGCAAGUCGAGCGAACGGACGAGAAGCUUGCUUCUCUGAUGUUAGCGGCGGACGGGUGAGUAACACGUGGAUAACCUACCUAUAAGACUGGGAGAACUUCGGGAAACCGGAGCUAAUACCGGAUAAUAUUUUGAACCGCAGGGUUCAAAAGUGAAAGACGGUCUUGAUGUCACUUAUAGAUGGAUCCGCGCUGCAUUAGCUAGUUGGUAAGGUAACGGCUUACCAAGGCAACGAUGCAUAGCCGACCUGAGAGGAUGCUCGGCCGCACUAGAACUGAGACGCGGUCCAGACUCCUACGGGAGGCAGCAGUAGGGAAUCUUGCGCAAUGGGCGAAAGCCUAACGGAGCAGCGCCGCGUGGGUAAUGAGGGUCUUCGGAUCGUAAAACUCUGUUGUUAGGGAAGAAGAUAUGUGGAAGUAACUGUGCAGGUCUUGACGGUACCUAAUCAGAAAGCCACGGCUAACUACGGG